rnacentral:rRNA from 1 species
AGCGAACGCUGGCGGCGUGCCUAACACAUGCAAGUCGAACGUGAACGGGGGCAACCCUUAGUAAGGUGGCGUACAGGUGAGUAACACGUAGGUAAUCUACCCUAGAGUCUGGAAUAACCGGCCGAAAGGCUGGCUAAUACUGGAUAGAGCGACGGAACUCGUAAAGAGUUUUUCGGGAAAGGGAGCUCGCAAGAGCCCUCGCUUUAGGAUGAGCCUGCGUCCCAUCAGGUAGUUGGUAGGGUAAUGGCCUACCAAGCCUUUGACGGGUAGCUGGUCUGAGAGGAUGAUCAGCCACACUGGAACUGAAACACGGUCCAGACUCCUACGGGAGGCAGCAGUGGGGAAUCUUGCGCAAUGGGCGAAAGCCUGACGCAGCCACGCCGCGUGAGUGAAGAAGGCCUUCGGGUUGUAAAGCUCUGUCGGGAGGGACGAACAUCAUUGGUGUUAACAGCGCCAGUGACUGACGGUACCUCCAAAGGAAGCACCGGCUAACUUCGUGCCAGCCGCCGCCGUAA